GACGAACGCUGGCGGCGUGCUUAACACAUGCAAGUCGAACGGAAAGGCCCUGCUUGCAGGGUACUCGAGUGGCGAACGGGUGAGUAACACGUGGGUGAUCUGCCCUGCACUUCGGGAUAAGCCUGGGAAACUGGGUCUAAUACCGGAUAGGAGCCAUUUUUAGUGUGAUGGUUGGAAAGUUUUUUUCGGUGUAGGAUGAGCUCGCGGCCUAUCAGCUUGUUGGUGGGGUAAUGGCCUACCAAGGCGGCGACGGGUAGCCGGCCUGAGAGGGUGGACGGCCACAUUGGGACUGAGAUACGGCCCAGACUCCUACGGGAGGCAGCAGUGGGGAAUAUUGCACAAUGGGCGCAAGCCUGAUGCAGCGACGCCGCGUGGGGGAUGACGGCCUUCGGGUUGUAAACUCCUUUCGCUAGGGACGAAGCUUUUUGUGACGGUACUUAGAUAAGAAGCACCGGCUAACUACGUG
rnacentral:rRNA from 1 species